AUGGACUUUGAAUCCUAGAACUACACAAUCAUCACAAGCAGGUGCAAAGGGCCACAAUCGCCUCCUACGGAAUGUUGUGAUGCUUUCAAGGAAUUUGCAUGCCCAUUUGCCUCGUACAUCAACAACCAGAGCACUAACUGUGCAGACACAAUGUUAACCUACAUCAACGUCCAUGGCUCGUACCCGCCAGCCCUAUUCGCCGACGAGUGCCAAAAAGGAAAGGAAGGGGUUUCUUGCGAAGGCAUCCCGGAGAUAGGCACCGGCGUGCCGAGUGGUGGGCGACGAGCUCAAGGGAGUUCGCGACAUCCUUUGGCCGCUCUCUUGUGUGGAAUAGGAGCAUUGCUGUUCCAUUGA
rnacentral:rRNA from 1 species